UACGUAGGGGGCAAGCGUUGUCCGGAAUCAUUGGGCGUAAAGCGCGUGUAGGCGGCUCGAUAAGUCUGCUGUGAAAGUUCAGGGCCCAACCCUGAAAUGCCGGUGGAAACUGUCGGGCUAGAGUCCGGAAGAGGCGAGUGGAAUUCCUGGUGUAGCGGUGAAAUGCGCAGAUAUCAGGAGGAACACCAAUGGCGAAGGCAGCUCGCUGGGACGGUACUGACGCUGAGACGCGAAAGCGUGGGGAGCAAACAGG
rnacentral:rRNA from 1 species